GUAACCAAAGAUCCUUAAUAUACAAAGAUAAAGCAGCACAGGCUUCUACAAUGGAAUGGAAUUGUACACAGUUCCUGCCUCCUAAAAAGGCGUGGUCAGAAUGCGCUGACGCUACCUCGUUGAUGAAAACGUCAAAGAUUUUUCAUUUUCGCGCCUCUCUCUUGCUGUGACCAACUGGAGCAGGCCUGGGUGACUGAAUUUGGUACAUCGUCGUGGCAAGAUGCGGUCUGAUUUCCAGUUGUUGGACGAGCAGAAGGACGCUAUGGAUGCAACCUGAAGGUCCAAGACUCAAUCCACUGAAGGCUCUCCGUAAGAUGGUGGAUCUGAUGUCUGCUUUGUGGUCCUAUAGGACGACGCCAUGGAUUGGGGUCAGAGAUGCGCCUGAGAAGUGCUGUAAAUGCUGGCCAUAUGACUUCAACCUUCAUCCAACCAAACGAAGAGAUCCUGCUUUCCUACACUCCAUUCAGGAUGUUAGUUAAUUCAAAGACAAUAACAGUAUUUAGUUUUGUAAAUGCUUAACUACCACUCAAUGCAGGACACAUCUACUGGCAGUUGAUGGAGGGGGUUUAGGGCAGUUGUGCUAUUCUUUUCCUUGUGGGUAGACUGCAGAAUGUGGCUAUGUAUGCAGGUGUUAAAUUGUGGGAUUUGUUGAAAAUGUGAAUUUCAAACAAAACCCUACCAUUCAA